GCGAAGCCCUCCAGAAAAUUAUCCCGAGAGAGAAAAAACGAUCUAUGUGAAGGAGCGUGUAAGAGCAAGAUGGUCGCUCGGACGUAGAAGGUGUCUGCUAAAACUUCUUCUCAUUUUUCACUCCUGCGCAAUUCCAGCAAACAUUUUCCGGUGCAUCAGUAACAGUUGCGGAGUCGUGGUGGCGGGGGUGCAAGACGUUACACGGGACGUGACACUGGAGUCGACACGGACGGUGGUGGUGUCACCACCUUCCCCCACCACAGAGAUGUCGGGAGACCAUAAAAAGGUUAUUAAAGGGAGCCCAUCCCAAUAUGUAAAGCUAAAUGUGGGUGGGUCUUUACACUACACAACUAUAGGAACUCUCACAAAACAUGAUAACAUGUUGAGAGCAAUGUUCUCUGGACGGAUGGAAGUUUUAACAGACUCAGAAGGUUGGAUACUGAUUGACCGGUGUGGAAAACAUUUUGGCACAAUCUUGAACUACCUAAGAGAUGAAAGUAUACCAAUGCCAGAGAACCAGCGGGAGUUGGAGGAGUUAUUGGCAGAGGCGAGGUAUUACUGCAUGAGCGACCUUAUAGCUGAGUGCGAAGAUGCAAUGAAGCAGAAAGAACCUGAGAAAGAUCCUGUGAAAGAUCCUGUGUGCUGUGUUCCUCUCAUUACAUCACAGAAGGAGGAACAAAUGCUCAUACAGUCAACUACCAAGCCAGUUGUUAAAUUACUUGUAAAUCGACAUAACAAUAAAUACUCAUAUACAAGUACAUCAGAUGACAACCUAUUGAAGAACAUUGAGCAUUUUGAUCGACUUGCCUUGAGAUUCAGUCGACGUGUUUUAUUCAUUAAGAAUGUAAUAGGAUCUAAUGAAAUAUGUCUUUGGGCAUUCUAUGGACAUGGAAAGAAAGUAGCAGAAGUGUGUUGUACAUCCAUUGUAUAUGCAACUGAUAGGAAGCAUACAAAGGUUGAGUUCCCAGAAGCAAGAAUCUAUGAAGAGACCUUAAAUGUGUUACUUUAUGAAAAUCGCACAGGACCAGAUGCUGAGCUAAUGCAGGCUACAUCAACCCGAGGGGCAGUGGCACCAGUUGUAUGCACAUCUGAUGAUGAGGAAGAUAGGAGAGGAGGUGCCUGUUCGCAGUCAGGCUUGGGAAGGCUGAGAUCAAACAAAAAUAAUCAGUUGAAAUAAAAGGGUUGAAUUGGUUAAGAGACCUUCUUCAAUUCUCAUAGAUAUUUUUACAGUAUAAGAACUGUUUAUUAUCAUUAUUAUUAUUAUUAUUAUUAUUAUUAUUAUGAAUAUAAUUAUUAUUAUCAUUGUCAUCAAGCAGCUCUGGGCAGACAUUAAUAUUGCUACCAGAGGUUUUGCUCAAAUAAGUCAACAAAUUCACAGCUGCCACCAUUUGACAAAAUUCAUUUCUGUAGCUGUAAGGGGAUCCUGACAAUAAUAGCCCAUAAUUUCCCUGGUUAAAUAUAACAUUUGUUUUACUUUGAGAUUAAUUCAGCUUGAAAUUUGGAGGCAUAGCCAGUUAAUGGAAAAAUAAAUGUUGUUUUAAUGUCUGUAAGUAAUUUGUUAUAUUUUGUUAUUAUUAUUUAUCAACUGUCCCCAAUUAUUUUUGAGGCCCACUUGAGAGGAAUUUCUUGAUAUUGUAUAUAUUUUAUAUAGAUAUUUUUAAUUUUACUAAUUUCGAAACAUAUGCCAUAUGAUAGAACACAACUAGUUCACAACAGUUCUAUAAACCAGAUAUUGAUCAAUAAUAUUUAAGGAAUUCCACUGCUUAUGUGGGUACGUUUUUCAAUAGUGCUAAUUUUGUGUGCUAAAUGAAUCUCUGCAUUUUAAAGGGGAUGCUCUUAUUUAUGGCUCUUAUAUUGUACAUCUCUACUGAAAUAUUGGGAUGUGUCUUGUUUUGGUAUUGUAACCCAAGAUUUUUCCAAGAAGCGCUUCUGUGAUGAAUGUAGAGUAGGAUGUUUGUAAGCAGGAAAACUGUAUUUCCUGGAAUGUUCAUAUUUCAGACCUAAUAAGUAUAUAGGGCCAUUUUUCAUAUCUACUCAAUUCAUUUCUCUAUAUACUGUCAUAAUAUUUGAUGGCAUGUACCUGCAGUUAAUGUCUUGUUAGAUGUACUAAGUAGAAAUAUCUUCCCUAAAGUUAUUUUGAUAAAAACUUGUUAGUAUGAUAUAUAGCAUGAAGUCAUUAAUCGGAACAGAAUUAAGUAUUCAGCUAUUUGCUAAUUAUUGUUUAUUAUGAAUAUAUUUAUUGUUUAUUAUUAUUAUUAUUUCUGCUAUUUUGCCAUUCUAAAAAGGAUCUGCCAACCAAGGUAUAUCACAAACAUCUACAUACUUAUCGGGGGGAGGGUGACCAUAAUGCCAAAGUUUUCUAUAUUAUUUCAGAAAACAAUGAUACCAUUUUGCUGCCAUAUAUCUUUAUUAAUGCAGUGGCUGCUUUUUUGCACUGAAACCUGUAUCCAUGUAGCAUGUUUGGUUUGUAAGGCUAGUCCUGAGUUAUCUUUUUAUAUGAUGUGAUAUCAAUAAAACUAUUUACAGUU
rnacentral:misc_RNA from 1 species